GACCGUCGCACUUCUCGCAGGCGCGCGCCAACGUCGGUUAGGGCUGGGUCUCAAAGGCGGUGGAAAGGUAGGUUUGGACUCUCGGGCCCGAACUGUUACAGUCCUCCGUUUGUCAUGGCCCGGACCUGACCGAGGAGCUUGCGGUGCAUGCCGUUCGGCUAGGGUCCCGUCUUCCCGGUCGGUCGUCGAAUGCGGUGGACUGCGUGCAGUGCGCCGCGACUGCUGCCGGUCGCGAGGGCGGUGAUUUCGUACUAUGCACCCACGACGUUGGCGGUCAUAUGGCCUCAUCCGACCCGUCUUGAAACACGGACCAAGGAGUCUAACAUGUGUGCGAGUCUUUGAGUGACCGAAACUCCGAGGCGUAAUGAAAGUGAAGGCGACUUCGGUCGCUGAGGUGAGAGCCUUUUUCCAAAAAAAGAAGGCGCAUCAUUGACCGACCUAUUCUACUCUUAGAAAGGUUUGAGUAAGAGCGCAUCUGUUGGGACCCGAAAGAUGGUGAUCUAUGCCUGAAUAGGGUGAAGCCAGAGGAAACUCUGGUGGAGGCUCGUAGCGAUUCUGACGUGCAAAUCGAUCGUCAAAUUUGGGUAUAGGGGCGAAAGACUAAUCGAACUUUCUAGUAGCUGGUUCCCUCCGAAGUUUCCCUUUAGGAUAGCUGGAACUUACGGCAGUUUUAUCAGGUAAAGCGAAUGAUUAGAGGUCUUAGGGUUAAAACAACCUUAACCUAUUCUCAAACUUUAAAUUGGUAAGAAGUCCGACUUGCUUAAUUGAAGCCGGACAGUGAAUGCGAGUUCCUAGUGGGCCAUUUUUGGUAAGCAGAACUGGCGAUGCGGGAUGAACCGAACGCGCGGUUAAGGUGCCAAAGUCGACGCUCAUCAGACCCCACAAAAGGUGUUGGUUGCUCUAGACAGCAGGACGGUGGCCAUGGAAGUUGGAAUCCGCUAAGGAGUGUGUAACAACUCACCUGCCGAAGCAGCUAGCCCUGAAAAUGGAUGGCGCUCAAGCGUCGCACCUAUACCGUGCCGUCGGAGCAGAUGCGAAGCUCCGACGAGUAGGAGGGCGUGGGGGUCGUGACGCAGCCUCUGGCGCGAGCCUGGGUGAAACGGCCUCCAGUGCAGAUCUUGGUGGUAGUAGCAAAUAUUCAAAUGAGAGCUUUGAAGACCGAAGUGGAGAAAGGUUCCAUGUGAACAGCAGUUGGACAUGGGUUAGUCGAUCCUAAGAGAUAGGGAAAUUCCGUUGCAAGCGCCCGAUCUG
rnacentral:ncRNA from 1 species